UGUAUAAUGGGUCAGCGACUUAUAUUCUGUAGCAAGGUUAACCGAAUAGGGGAGCCGAAGGGAAACCGAGUCUUAACUGGGCGUUAAGUUGCAGGGUAUAGACCCGAAACCCGGUGAUCUAGCCAUGGGCAGGUUGAAGGUUGGGUAACACUAACUGGAGGACCGAACCGACUAAUGUUGAAAAAUUAGCGGAUGACUUGUGGCUGGGGGUGAAAGGCCAAUCAAACCGGGAGAUAGCUGGUUCUCCCCGAAAGCUAUUUAGGUAGCGCCUCGUGAAUUCAUCUCCGGGGGUAGAGCACUGUUUCGGCAAGGGGGUCAUCCCGACUUACCAACCCGAUGCAAACUGCGAAUACCGGAGAAUGUUAUCACGGGAGACACACGGCGGGUGCUAACGUCCGUCGUGAAGAGGGAAACAACCCAGACCGCCAGCUAAGGUCCCAAAGUCAUGGUUAAGUGGGAAACGAUGUGGGAAGGCCCAGACAGCCAGGAUGUUGGCUUAGAAGCAGCCAUCAUUUAAAGAAAGCGUAAUAGCUCACUGGUCGAGUCGGCCUGCGCGGAAGAUGUAACGGGGCUAAACCAUGCACCGAAGCUGCGGCAGCGACACUGUGUGUUGUUGGGUAGGGGAGCGUUCUGU
rnacentral:rRNA from 1 species